UAGAUUAGGUAAGACUCUUGCUAUCUCUGC
rnacentral:piRNA from 1 species